GACUUGAACCAGCACGCAGAUCGGAAAGCCACUUCAAAGGAAACCUUGUAGAGAAGAAGAGCAACUUUCUAAUUCCUGUCAAACUAAGAGGCGGAACCAAGCCCAGAAGUAGCCUCAAGGCCUGGAGAGAGCAGAGCAGAGAGCCGACUCCACACUCCAGCCAAGGCUCAAGAAAGGCUUUGCUUCUGGAGGCGGCAUUGUUCCUCCAUCCGCUCAGCCUCCGCGUCUCCCCUCCGCGGACUCUCAGAAUCACUGCCUUUCUCGGGUACCUCUCCGCCGACCUCCGGGAUCUGGGUGCCUGGGUCCCAAGGCGCACCCAAGCAGGCUCACUGCAGAGGCUGGGGCGCCGCUCGGAAGACUAGGAGCCUCCGCACGAGUCCGCCCCGACCAGGGCAGCGCGCAGCGCACACUCAGUGUCUCACUCCUCUCGGCUUCCCUGGCUCCCACGGACUCGGUUGGCCUCUCACCACCCACUCGGGUUCGCCUUUCCUGCCUUGGCUUCCCACACCAGCUCCGCACCGCCGCCACAGCCGCGUCCCGACGCUCCGAACCCUAGCAGGCCGGGAUGAAGGGAUGCCAGGGUCAGGGAUGCACCCGAAGGAGAAGAGAGGCUAAGGCGAGCCGGGGCAGGUGGGGAGUCGCGGGCUGCGGGAGAGGGCGUGUGCGAGCGAGCCCCCCGAGAAAGAUGCAUGUACUCGGCCACCCCGCUGGAAGAAGGACCGAGGGGGCAGGAUGCAACGUGGAGAACGCCCACCGCGAGGGUGCGCAAAACCGGCGAUUUGCAAAGUGCCAGGGCCAGACAGGCAGAGGGGGAGGAAGGAGGCUGGCUGAAGACCAGGAACAGAGAGAAGAGCCCACUUCUCCAUCAAAAGGUCUGUUCGGUUAACGCAUCCCCAGAGCAGGAGUUAAUCGAGGACUGGAUGCAGUGUAAAAGGUGGGUUUUAAAAAACUCGCUGGCCGCGUAGGUCUUCUUAUGCUAGACUUAGCUCCCUCUCUCUCAACUCUGGGGAUUUGCCCUCCCUGUGACACAACUGGAAUUUACAGGAGCUGAAGCCCACUGUCCUCCUUGCUGUUUAUCUGCAUUUUGGAGAUUCUAUGAAACCUAGUAUUGAAGAAACCACCCAGCUCAUUAAAGUUCAUUAAUUUUUAUUGUUUUUAUUUUCAUCAGAAGAUAGUAGUGGAGACUUAACACCAAGAUGUGUUUAAAACAUUGAUCUGAUCGACAUAGC
rnacentral:lncRNA from 1 species